rnacentral:rRNA from 1 species
GAUGAACGCUGGCGGCGUGCCUAAUACAUGCAAGUCGAGCGGCAGCAUGUCUCUCACCACCUUUCGGUAGUUGUGACCAUUAAAGUUCACAAAUAACUCGGGGAAGUGGUGAGAGAUGAUGGCGAGCGGCGGACGGCAGAGUAACGCGUAGGAACAUACCCCAAACUGAGGGAUAACUGCUCGAAAAGAGUAGCUAAUACCGCAUGUGAUCUUCGGAUUAAAGCUUCGGCGGUUUGGGAAUGGCCUGCGUCCGAUUAGCUUGUUGGUGAGGUAAAAGCUCACCAAGGCGACGAUCGGUAGCUGGUCUGAGAGGAUGAUCAGCCUGACUGGAACUGAGAACGGUCCAGACUCCUACGGGAGGCAGCAGUAGGGAAUUUCCACAAUGGCG